UGAAAAGAAGAGCAGCGCUCCUGCCCGCCACAUGUGAUGGAAUUUGGAGAUUAAAUAAAUAAUGGCAUUAAUGAUCUAAAGGGUUUACUGAGUGCAUCGCAAUAUUUGCCUUAUUACCGCAGAUUUGUUUGUUUGUUUAGCUGUUUAUUUUAAUUGUGUCUUUUCCUUUUUUUAAGUGUCAGCAGUUCACGUUUUGGCACCAGAUGGAGGCUUUCUUUUGGUGAAAUGCCACCGUGUCAUUCAGCCGAGCUUUGAGCCUUUGAAUGUUCGCGCAGCAUGGCCUGAUGCUGGAUGUGUAGGUCCACGACCGGGAUCGGACCCCGUGAACCCCAGGCCACGAAAAUGGAGCGCAAAGUCAACCACUACACCAUCAGGCCUGCCCCUCAAAAAGUUUUAAAGAACGUUGAGCUUUAAAAUGUUUCGAAGCCCCGAGGCUGGUAGGUCAUUCCAUAGUUUCAUGGUCACAGUGGGACCCAAAGAUACCAUACUUCCCCCAAGGGGGCCUCCUCAGCACCCUCCGUACAAAGUACACCAUAGCACCGUGGCAUCCUAGAGGAUGAAACAUUUUAACACAUGAUGGUGCAUGAAUCAUUAUGGUAUGUGAGUUAGCUACAGCAUGAAUUGAUUGAGAAGGGAUUUAGGUAUGAUUAUGGUAAAACGUAGGUCACAUUUCUAUUUACCCAUGUAAAUAUCAUAACUGCUUAUCACGAUAGAAACUAAAAUGAGCAUCAUCUCUUGGAAAGGCUACUGUCACUACCAAGAGACACAAUUAGAGUCCCCUCGACUCUACCAUGUGACACAGUAAGCACUUAACCUGUGACUUCAGGGGUAAAAACGAUGUUGGAAUUAUCUGGUAUAAUCCUAUCCUUUUCAGGGAUUUUUAGGGAGCAGAUCCAGAGAGCUGGACUGCCUCCUCUGCAGUCUGGACCGUCUGCGUCUUUACAGAGCACCUCCCACCGUGAAGCACAAGGCCCCUCCCUGCUCACUGGAAUGAAAUGAUCGUCCUAAGAGGUCAACUUGCUUAAUUAUAUUUAAUUCCCCCAACUUUCUCCUGUGGCAGGAGGUAAAAUGCCACUGGAUAUGGCUUUUCUCUUGAAAGUACGUGGAAGAGCUGUGUUGGAGGGUCAGAAUAAGUGGUGUGUCUAUCCCUAGUUAGAGGAGGUCGCCUUUCAGUUGUGGUGGACUGAGGCCAUCGGCCACCAGAACAAGCCAUCUCUUGCUUUACUGUAGAACCAGCUGUAACAUCUAGAACGUGUUGCUCCUCUUUUCCUAAGGACUCAGAAUAUACCCACGAAGUUACUUCAAAUAGAGUCUAUUGUAAUCGUCAAAUAAGCCGAAUGUCGCUAAAUAUACCCGCUGUUAUUUUAGUCUUUAUUUGUAUAUGAUGAUUUAAUUUUCAUUGACUUGGAUGUGCUGUAGUGUAAAGCGCUCUGACUUCCCACCGCGGGUGGAGAGGGAACGACGAUGCUGAAGCGCACAGAGCCGUCACCGGGGGCGGGUUGACUCGAAGCAUGCAGGCAGACAUACGGGCCUCAUGUGUGCCCACCAUCCAAGGGAGAGGAGAAGCCGAGAGAGGAAGCCUGCACUGGAAGAAGGAAAGAGACAACGAGACAGAGAGAGGCCCACGCAGUCUGUGUGGAGAAAGGAGAUUUGAUCAGAGAAAUCACAAAGCAGGAUCCAGACGCCCUGACAGCUACUGGGCAGUUACUGAGACUCAUUCUUAUCAACUGAGGUGGAGCACAAAAUUAAGCAAUACUAAGGCGAGGCCAAUUCUAGGAUAGAUAUAUGAAAUGACAGAAAACUAUUUGUUUUACCUUUUUUUCCUCCCUGUGUGUGAUGCAUUUAUUUAUAUUUGAAAUGGAACGCAGUAAUUUAUCUUAUCUUUAUUCUACACCUGAAGUCAUCCUCUUCCUCCUCAAAUUAGCAUCUCCUCCUGAAUUUUCUCUCUCAUUUGGGGCUCCUUUGGAGCGAGGCCCUCCAACUUGAACCCCUGAAAAUCUAAGAUAGCUACGAUCCUGCUCACUCCGUAACAAGGCUCCCUAAUUGUUUUUUCGUGAAGAAACAACACUGAUGUUCCAGUCAAGACAUAACAUUGCCCCGGGAAGCAAUUAUUAUUAUUUUUUUAAUAUCAGCUUUAUUAAGAUAUAUAUAUAGGGGCCGGCCCCAUGGCCGAGUGGUUAAGUUCGUGUGCUCUGCUUGGGCAGCCCAGGGUUUCACUGUUCACUGGUUUGGAUUCUGGGCACGGACAUGGCACCACUCAUCAGGCCAUACUGAGGUGGCGUCCCACAUGCCACAACUAGAAGGACACACAACUAAAAAUAUACAACUAUGUGCUGGCAGGUUUUGGGGAGAAAAUGUAAAAAUAAAAUAAAUUAAAAAAUAUAUAUAUAUAUAUACAUGUAUCUUAUAAUAUAUAUAUGUAUCAUAAAAUUCACCAUUCUUUAAAGUGUACAAUUUAGGAGUAUUUAGUAUAUCCACAGAAUUGUGCGACCAUCAUCAACAUCUCAUUGUAGAACAUCUUUAUUACCCCCCAAAAAACCCUGUACCCUUUGGUGGUCACUCCACAAUCCCUCCAUCCCCACCCCUGGCAACAGCUAAUCCACUUUUUCCCUCUAUGGAUUUGCAUAUUCUGGAUAUUUCCUAUAAAUGCAGUCACACACGUGGACUUUUUGUUUGGCUUCUUUCACUUAGCAUAAUGUUUUUGAGAUUCAACCGUGUUGUAGCAUGUAUUAGUAUUUCAUUCCUUUUUAUGGCUGAAUAAUAUUUCAUUCUGUACACCAAGUUUUGUGUACCCAUUCAUCAGUUGAUGGACAUUUCAAUUGCUUUUACUUCUUGGCUAUUGUGACUAAUGCUGCUGUGGACACUUAUUCACAAGUUUUUGUGUGGACAUGUGUUUUCAGUUCUCUUGGGUAUAUACCCAGGAAUAGAAUUAUUGGGUUACGUGACAACUCUACAUUGAACAUUUUGAGAAACUUCCAAACUGUUUUCCAAAGUGUCUGCACCAAUUUACAACUAAUGAAUGAGGGUUCCAAUUUCUCCACAUCCUCAUCAACAUUUGUUAUUACCUGUCUUUUUUAUUUUAGCCAUUAUUGUUAGUGUGAAUUUGUAUCCUGUUGUGGUUUUGAUUUGCACUUCCCUAGUGAAAAGUG
rnacentral:lncRNA from 1 species